GUGCCAGCAGCCGCGGUAAUACGGAGGGUGCAAGCGUUAAUCGGAAUUACUGGGCGUAAAGCGCGCGUAGGUGGCUUGAUAAGCCGGUUGUGAAAGCCCCGGGCUCAACCUGGGAACGGCAUCCGGAACUGUCAGGCUAGAGUGCAGGAGAGGAAGGUAGAAUUCCCGGUGUAGCGGUGAAAUGCGUAGAGAUCGGGAGGAAUACCAGUGGCGAAGGCGGCCUUCUGGACUGACACUGACACUGAGGUGCGAAAGCGUGGGUAGCAAACAGGAUUAGAUACCCUGGUAGUCCACGCCGUAAACGAUGUCGACCAGCCGUUGGGUGCCUAGAGCACUUUUGUGGCGAAGUUAACGCGAUAAGUCGACCGCCCUGGGGGAGUACGGCCGCAAGGUUAAAACUCAAAUGAAUUGACGG
rnacentral:rRNA from 1 species